rnacentral:misc_RNA from 1 species
GAUGAAGGACGUGGUUUGCUGCGAUAAGCAACGGGGAGUUGUAAACAAGCUUUGAUCCGUUGAUUUCCGAAUGGGGGAACCCUACUAGGCAAAACCUAGUAACACAGCAAUGUGGGCAAGACCCAGGGAAUUGAAACAUC